rnacentral:rRNA from 1 species
UGGGGAAUUUUGGACAAUGGGCGAAAGCCUGAUCCAGCAAUGCCGCGUGUGUGAAGAAGGCCUUCGGGUUGUAAAGCACUUUUGUCCGGAAAGAAAUCCUUGGCUCUAAUACAGUCGGGGGAUGACGGUACCGGAAGAAUAAGCACCGGCUAACUACGUGCCAGCAGCCGCGGUAAUACGUAGGGUGCAAGCGUUAAUCGGAAUUACUGGGCGUAAAGCGUGCGCAGGCGGUUUGCUAAGACCGAUGUGAAAUCCCCGGGCUCAACCUGGGAACUGCAUUGGUGACUGGCAGGCUAGAGUAUGGCAGAGGGGGGUAGAAUUCCACGUGUAGCAGUGAAAUGCGUAGAGAUGUGGAGGAAUACCGAUGGCGAAGGCAGCCCCCUGGGCCAAUACUGACGCUCAUGCACGAAAGCGUGGGGAGCAAAACAGGAUUAGAUACCCUGGUAGUCCACGCCCUAAAACGAUGUCAACUAGUUGUUGGGGAUUCAUUUCCUUAGUAACGUAGCUAACGCGUGAAGUUGACCGCCUGGGGAGUACGGUCGCAAGAUUAAAAACUCAAAGGAAUUG